rnacentral:rRNA from 1 species
GUGUCAGCCGCCGCGGUAAGACAGAGGGGGCAAGCGUUGCUCGGAAUCACUGGGCGUAAAGGGCGCGUAGGCGGGUCCGCAAGUCGAUCGUGAAAUCCUUCGGCUCAACUGAAGGGGGUCGGUCGAUACUGCGGGUCUUGAGGGAUGCAGAGGAGACUGGAAUUCCCGGUGUAGCGGUGAAAUGUGUAGAGAUCGGGAGGAACACCGGUGGCGAAGGCGGGUCUCUGGGCAUCUCCUGACGCUGAGGCGCGAAAGCGUGGGGAGCAAACGGGAUUAGAAACCCCCGUAGUCC